UUGUUUUUAGCUGGGGUCUAUGCCCGGGUUGGUCUCAGACUCUCAGAGCCCAAGUGAUCCUCUGCUUUAGCAUUCUGGGUAGAGUAGCAAGGCAGACUGGAGCCAACCACCCAAGAUCACCCUUCCAGUGCCUUUCCGGCCCGGAGUGCAUCACAGGCAGGCAACAGUGUUCUAGGGUAGCUGUUAGAUUUCUAGCGACAGGGUCCUAAAGAGAGUGUCCCUCCUGUGGACCUAGCUUCCCACUGAGGAGACAUGGCCAUUCUGGUGUCUAGCUUUUGCCCUGUGAGAUGGGACAUGGCUCCUGGACAUGGUCCUUGCUUCCUAUAUUAUAUUAGCUACUGAGGACUCAGUCCCUGACACACAGGAGGUGUGUAGUCAACGAAGACCAGGCUUACGGUGGACAUGAGCCUCAGCUGUGUGCUGUGAUUGUUACAGUGUCCUGGGGGUUGGUGGGUGAAACAGAUGUCCUUUGUAGCUAGGGGAGGACUUCUUGUAAGCUCUGGAAACUGGUCUCCCUCCAACCUCCACAAGGUGUAAAGCUCUGUCUGUCUGAGAAGAGGUCAGACUGCUGGUCUGUUUACCUGCACAGUGUCCAGGCACCAACCCAGUGUUUGGCCCUGGGCUCUAAGCCCUAGGUUUAGGCCCUGAAUCUGCCCUUCUGCAGGACCCAGGAAGGAGUCAUUAAAAACUCCCAAAGCUAACCACGGAGUCCCCGUCUGGGCCUCCUGCUGCAAGGGACCAGGUCUCUGGGUUUGCUGCUAGUACAGAGGUGACCAGCUGGCGUCAUUGCCUGCGUGUCACCCCUACUUCCAGCUGAGCCAGCACACAGUCUGCUCCAGGCCAGUGCCCAGGGACUUUCCCUGGUGGAGGAGCCCAACCGAGGCCCGGGAGCUGUUCUAUCCACAGCCCAAUCUCCUGCUGCCUGGGUGCAGAGUUCUUUCAGAACUUUUAGCUCUGGAACCUUGGGAGGUCAAAGAGCCACCCAGGUGGACAGUGGGAGGAUUAUGACAAAUGGUGGGGAUGUCCCCAGGCCUCUUGGAUGGGAAACAGGUGACAUAGAGACCUACCUUUGGAGCCAGGAGUCCCGUCAGCCAGCCUGCCCUAACUUUGGAUGAGGAGACACUACAGGGCUCCCAGAGUGUGGCAGAACUCCAGAGUACUCUGACCUAGUUCUCCUGCGUUCAGGCUCCGGGAGCGUCGAUUUCUCCCCUUCCCUCCCUACUUGGGCUCCAAUCAAUCAAGAGAGGAAAUCUUUCGUGUGGCACCUCUCCGAGCCCUGCAGGCUCCUACAAGAUUGAUUAACGCAAACAUCAAUUUCUUGGGCCGCACGCCUCUGAAAACACGGUGCUUUUUUCAGAUUGAAUUGCUACUGCGCGCCCGGUGUAAAUAAAGGAGCGGGAAUAACAUGGAAGAUUUGUGACUGUGUGCUGUGACUGCCCUCUCAGCCGGGCGAGAGGGAGACGGAGGGCAGAGGAAGAAAGGGGAGCAUCUGUGGCAUCCCCAUACCCCCUGCCAAGGCGGACAGAGAGGUGAACGAGAGCCAGGGGGUGUGAGAAGUCAGAACUACAGCACAGCAGAUCUGUAGCCGGAUCUCUGGAAGACGCGUGCUAAUUGGCUCUUUAUUGUCUCUGGCUGUCUGGAGGGUGUCCGCAGAGGCAGGUGUCACUACUGGUCCUGCAGCAGCUGCGGGGUAGCUUGGCUUCCGGCCCUGAGGCUGGACGAGACUCCUUUGGCUUUGCCCCUCCCUCUCCCUCUCCAGCACAAAGCAAGGCAUGGUGAAGCAGGCCCCAACCAGGCACCUUGUGGUGGGCCCAGGGCCUAGAAGAAUGCAAGGAGAGUUUGUCAAGGUGGAGAGACACACAGGACUGACCAUGGUCCUGAGGACAGUGAGUGAGGCCUUCCCUGAGGCCACAUCUUGCCCUGCUUGACUUUGUACCUUCAGAUAUGUUCCUGAGCCUUGCUCUCUGUCUCCUUAUCCUGAGGUCCAGAUACCUCCAUACCCCUAAACGUUUCACCUGGGCCUUUAAAAAAAAUGUUUUCUGUUACUGUAUUAAAACCCUCUGACAAAAGCCA